rnacentral:rRNA from 1 species
UACGGAGGGUGCAAGCGUUAUCCGGAUUCACUGGGUUUAAAGGGUGCGUAGGUGGGUUGAUAAGUCAGUGGUGAAAUCCCCGAGCUUAACUUGGGAACUGCCAUUGAUACUAUUGAUCUUGAAUACCGUGGAGGUCAGCGGAAUAUGUCAUGUAGCGGUGAAAUGCUUAGAUAUGACAUAGAACACCAAUUGCGAAGGCAGCUGGCUACGCGAAUAUUGACACUGGGGCACGAAAGCGUGGGGAUCAAACAGG